AUCGCUUCUCAGCCUUUUGGCUACGAUCAAGUGUAGUAUCUCUUCUUAUCAGUUUAAUAAAGAAAUUUUUUUAAAAAGUCAUCACUAAGUGAGUCAGUCUCU
rnacentral:snRNA from 1 species